GUGAAUCAUCAAAUUUUUGAACGCAAAUUGCACUCUCCUCGGAGAGUAUGCCUGUUUGAGGGUCAGCCUAUAAAAAAUCGACAUCGUUGCUGUUUCGCGGUGACGUUCGUCGGAAAUUGGGUCAUCUUAAAUCCUUUUGGUUUUAGCCACCUUAAAAAUUUCUUUUUGGCCAUGUACGUGUUUCUAAG
rnacentral:misc_RNA from 1 species